UACAGAGGUCUCAAGCGUUGUUCGGAUUCAUUGGGCGUAAAGGGUGCGUAGGCGGUUCCGCAAGUCCUGUGUGAAAUCUUCGGGCUCAACUCGAAGUCUGCACGGGAAACUGCGGGGCUUGAGUGUGGGAGAGGUGAGGUGGAAUUCCGGUGUAGCGGUGAAAUGCGAUAGAUAUCGGGAGGAACACCUGUGGCGAAAGCGGCUCACUGGACCAUAACUGACGCUGAUGCACGAAAGCUGGGGAGCAAACAGG
rnacentral:rRNA from 1 species